rnacentral:rRNA from 1 species
UACGGAGGAUGCAAGCGUUAUCCGGAAUGAUGGGGCGUAAAGCGUCCGCAGGUGGCUGUGUAAGUCUGCUGUCAAAGAGCAAAGCUCAACUUUGUAAAGGCAGUGGAAACUACACGGCUAGAGUGCGUUCGGGGCAGAGGGAAUUCCUGGUGUAGCGGUGAAAUGCGUAGAGAUCAGGAAGAACACCGGUGGCGAAGGCGCUCUGCUAGGCCGCAACUGACACUGAGGGACGAAAGCUAGGGGAGCGAAUGGG